rnacentral:rRNA from 1 species
GGUUAAGCGACUAAGCGUACACGGUGGAUGCCCUGGCAGUCAGAGGCGAUGAAGGACGUGCUAAUCUGCGAUAAGCGCCGGUAAGGUGAUAUGAACCGUUAUAACCGGCGAUUUCCGAAUGGGGAAACCCAGUGUGACUCGUCACACUAUCAUUAACUGAAUCCAUAGGUUAAUGAGGCGAACCGGGGGAACUGAAACAUCUAAGUACCCCGAGGAAAAGAAAUCAACCGAGAUUCCCCCAGUAGCGGCGAGCGAACGGGGAGGAGCCCAGAGCCUGAAUCAGCAUGUGUGUUAGUGGAAGCGUCUGGAAAGGCGCGCGAUACAGGGUGACAGCCCCGUACACAAAAGCGCAUGUGCUGUGAGCUCGAUGAGUAGGGCGGGACACGUGGUAUCCUGUCUGAAUAUGGGGGGACCAUCCUCCAAGGCUAAAUACUCCUGACUGACCGAUAGUGAACCAGUACCGUGAGGGAAAGGCGAAAAGAACCCCGGCGAGGGGAGUGAAAAAGAACCUGAAACCGUGUACGUACAAGCAGUGGGAGCACAGGUUUACCUGUGUGACUGCGUACCUUUUGUAUAAUGGGUCAGCGACUUAUAUUCUGUAGCAAGGUUAACCGAAUAGGGGAGCCGGAGGGAAACCGAGUCUUAAUUGGGCGUUAAGUUGCAGGGUAUAGACCCGAAACCCGGUGAUCUAGCCAUGGGCAGGUUGAAGGUUGGGUAACACUAACUGGAGGACCGAACCGACUAAUGUUGAAAAAUUAGCGGAUGACCUGUGGCUGGGGGUGAAAGGCCAAUCAAACCGGGAGAUAGCUGGUUCUCCCCGAAAGCUAUUUAGGUAGCGCCUCGUGAAUUCAUCUCCGGGGGUAGAGCACUGUUUCGGCUAGGGGGCCAUCCCGGCUUACCAACCCGAUGCAAACUGCGAAUACCGGAGAAUGUUAUCACGGGAGACACACGGCGGGUGCUAACGUCCGUCGUGAAGAGGGAAACAACCCAGACCGCCAGCUAAGGUCCCAAAGUCAUGGUUAAGUGGGAAACGAUGUGGGAAGGCCCAGACAGCCAGGAUGUUGGCUUAGAAGCAGCCAUCAUUUAAAGAAAGCGUAAUAGCUCACUGGUCGAGUCGGCCUGCGCGGAAGAUGUAACGGGGCUAAACCAUGCACCGAAGCUGCGGCAGCGAACGUAUCACCCAAGACAACUUUGCGGAGUUGACGAUUGACGGAGCGAAGCGACGUCAAAGCGUUCAUUAAAGUCGAGUUGGCUUAGGGAUACGUUCGUUGGGUAGGGGAGCGUUCUGUAAGCCUGUGAAGGUGGCCUGUGAGGGUUGCUGGAGGUAUCAGAAGUGCGAAUGCUGACAUAAGUAACGAUAAAGCGGGUGAAAAGCCCGCUCGCCGGAAGACCAAGGGUUCCUGUCCAACGUUAAUCGGGGCAGGGUGAGUCGACCCCUAAGGCGAGGCCGAAAGGCGUAGUCGAUGGGAAACGGGUUAAUAUUCCCGUACUUGGUGUUACUGCGAAGGGGGGACGGAGAAGGCUAUGUUGGCCGGGCGACGGUUGUCCCGGUUUAAGCGUGUAGGUGUGUGUUCCAGGUAAAUCCGGUUCACUUUAACACUGAGGCGUGACGACGAGGCACUACGGUGCUGAAGCAACAAAUGCCCUGCUUCCAGGAAAAGCCUCUAAGCAUCAGGUAACAUCAAAUCGUACCCCAAACCGACACAGGUGGUCAGGUAGAGAAUACCAAGGCGCUUGAGAGAACUCGGGUGAAGGAACUAGGCAAAAUGGUGCCGUAACUUCGGGAGAAGGCACGCUGACACGUAGGUGAAGUGAUUUACUCAUGGAGCUGAAGUCAGUCGAAGAUACCAGCUGGCUGCAACUGUUUAUUAAAAACACAGCACUGUGCAAACACGAAAGUGGACGUAUACGGUGUGACGCCUGCCCGGUGCCGGAAGGUUAAUUGAUGGGGUCAGCGCAAGCGAAGCUCCUGAUCGAAGCCCCGGUAAACGGCGGCCGUAACUAUAACGGUCCUAAGGUAGCGAAAUUCCUUGUCGGGUAAGUUCCGACCUGCACGAAUGGCGUAAUGAUGGCCAGGCUGUCUCCACCCGAGACUCAGUGAAAUUGAACUCGCUGUGAAGAUGCAGUGUACCCGCGGCAAGACGGAAAGACCCCGUGAACCUUUACUAUAGCUUGACACUGAACAUUGAGCCUUGAUGUGUAGGAUAGGUGGGAGGCUUUGAAGCGUGGACGCCAGUCUGCGUGGAGCCGACCUUGAAAUACCACCCUUUAAUGUUUGAUGUUCUAACGUGGACCCGUAAUCCGGGUUGCGGACAGUGUCUGGUGGGUAGUUUGACUGGGGCGGUCUCCUCCUAAAGAGUAACGGAGGAGCACGAAGGUUGGCUAAUCCUGGUCGGACAUCAGGAGGUUAGUGCAAUGGCAUAAGCCAGCUUGACUGCGAGCGUGACGGCGCGAGCAGGUGCGAAAGCAGGUCAUAGUGAUCCGGUGGUUCUGAAUGGAAGGGCCAUCGCUCAACGGAUAAAAGGUACUCCGGGGAUAACAGGCUGAUACCGCCCAAGAGUUCAUAUCGACGGCGGUGUUUGGCACCUCGAUGUCGGCUCAUCACAUCCUGGGGCUGAAGUAGGUCCCAAGGGUAUGGCUGUUCGCCAUUUAAAGUGGUACGCGAGCUGGGUUUAGAACGUCGUGAGACAGUUCGGUCCCUAUCUGCCGUGGGCGCUGGAGAACUGAGGGGGGCUGCUCCUAGUACGAGAGGACCGGAGUGGACGCAUCACUGGUGUUCGGGUUGUCAUGCCAAUGGCACUGCCCGGUAGCUAAAUGCGGAAGAGAUAAGUGCUGAAAGCAUCUAAGCACGAAACUUGCCCCGAGAUGAGUUCUCCCUGAGACUUUAGGUCUCCUGAAGGAACGUUGAAGACGACGACGUUGAUAGGCCGGGUGUGUAAGCGCAGCGAUGCGUUGAGCUAACCGGUACUAAUGAACCGUGAGGCUUAACCUU